UUCGUAUCAAGGCAUACCUUGGCUAUUUAGGAGAUGCAGAGAGGAUGGUUCAGUGCAGAGGGUGUCUCACCAGUGUGACUUCUCUCAAUGAAGACUCCCAGGUCUCUCUCGGUUUGGUAACUACUUGGGGAAACUAACUUCACAGGACGCAUCUAAUUGUAAUUGCUUUAAUUUGGAGACCAUCCCAAUUCUCAAUAAACAAGAUAGAGAGAGCUCCUGUUAGAUCACAAGACCCUCUGAUAAGCCGUGUUUGGCACAAAGAAGUGGAAGAAACAGAAUCAAGCCGAGGUCAAGAUUUUGACAAACGCCGCUUCUGGGAGAAAGAUGACCCCACAGGAGAACGAGUUUCAGUGCGGCACGAACACCUUGAGAAAAGUCACAUUCGGUUCAAAGAAGAUUCCGUGGACGACGCAGGUUCAGUGGGUGGUCUCGAUCCUUUAAAAGGACACCUUCGGCUCAAACGACAUGAUUCCAUGGAAGAACUAGUUUCAGUUGAAGAUCAAGACUCAGCUAAUGUUGGGGAUCCUGCGAAAAGUCACAGUCAGCAUGUUUGACUCCUUUAAGGUGGAUCCUGUCCUGGCUGCUCCUGUCCCUGGCCCAGGCCUGCAGGCCUCUCUGUAGUCCCAGCUACCGGUAGCACCAGGCUUUCAUGCGUUGCCCAUUCUUCCAUUCUGGAUGCCCAAGCAUGUCCCUGACUUUCUCAUCUACUUUCCAAUAAAAAGAUCUUCUGCUUCAUU
rnacentral:lncRNA from 1 species